ensembl:lncRNA
GCGGUCCCCGAUGCCGAGGCGGUGCCCGAGGCGGUUCCCGAUGCAAUGUCCGAUGCCGUUCCUGAGGCCAUUCCCGAGGCGGUGCCCGAUGCCGAGGUCGUUCCCGAGGCGGUGCCCGAGGCCGUUCCCGAGGCGGAGCCCGAGGUCGUGCCCGAGGCCGUUCCCGAGGCGGUGUCCUUGUCCAAUGCCGUUCCUGAGGCCGUUCCUGAGGCCGUUCCUGAGACCGUUCCCGAGGCGGUGCCCGAUGCCGAGGCCGUUCCCGAGGCGGUGCCCUUGUCUGAGGCCGUUCCCGAUGCCGUUCCCAAUGCCGUGACCUGGCCAUCGCCACAGCCUGCUCCUUACUGGCUCCCCGAUUGGCAGGUUCCGUUCGGGCCACUCAAAUGGCGAAUUCCUCCCUGGCCGUCUGCACAACGAGAAUGGACUGAUCCACCGUGGCCACCUGAACUGCCUGGCCCCUCGUGGUCCCCCUGAACUUUCGGGUCCACCGUGGCCACCUGAACUGCCUGGUCCCUCGUGGUCCCCUGAACUUUCGGGUCCACCAUGGCCCCCUGAUCUGACCGAGCCACCUGGGCUACCAGGGGAGCCA